rnacentral:miRNA from 1 species
GUAGUUGUACUGUAUUGCCACU